rnacentral:rRNA from 1 species
CCUACGGGUGGCAGCAGUAAGGAAUAUUGGUCAAUGGUGGGAACUCUGAACCAGCCAUGCCGCGUGCAGGAUGACUGCCCUAUGGGUUGUAAACUGCUUUUGUCCAGGAAUAAACCUUUCUACGUGUAGACAGCUGAAUGUACUGGAAGAAUAAGGAUCGGCUAACUCCGUGCCAGCAGCCGCGGUAAUACGGAGGAUCCGAGCGUUAUCCGGAUUUAUUGGGUUUAAAGGGUGCGUAGGCGGCUUUAUAAGUCAGAGGUGAAAGACGGCAGCUUAACUGUCGCAGUGCCUUUGAUACUGUAGAGCUUGAAUGUGAUUGAAGAUGGCGGAAUGAGACAAGUAGCGGUGAAAUGCAUAGAUAUGUCUCAGAACCCCGAUUGCGAAGGCAGCUGUCUAAGUCAUAAUUGACGCUGAUGCACGAAAGCGUGGGGAUCAAACAGGAUUAGAUACCCCAGUAGUC